rnacentral:rRNA from 1 species
AACGAACGCUGGCGGCAUGCCUAACACAUGCAAGUCGAACGAGACCUUCGGGUCUAGUGGCGCACGGGUGCGUAACGCGUGGGAACCUGCCCUUAGGUUCGGAAUAACUCCCCGAAAGGGGUGCUAAUACCGGAUAAUGUCUUCGGACCAAAGAUUUAUCGCCUUUGGAUGGGCCCGCGUUGGAUUAGCUAGUUGGUAGGGUAAAAGCCUACCAAGGCGACGAUCCAUAGCUGGUCUGAGAGGAUGAUCAGCCACACUGGGACUGAGACACGGCCCAGAAUCCUACGGGAGGGAGCAGUGGGGAAUAUUGGACAAUGGACGAAAGCCUGAUCCGGCAAUGCCGCGUGAGUGAUGAAGGCCUUAGGGUUGUAAAGCUCUUUUACCCGGGAUGAUAAUGACAGUACCGGGAGAAUAAGCUCCGGCUAACUCCGUG